ensembl:Mt_tRNA
GUUAAUGUAGCUUAAAACAAAGCAAGGCGCUGAAAAUGCCUAGAUGAGUCAUAGACUCCAUAAACA